CUUUCUUUGCCCCUUCCGCCUUCCGGAUGGAUGAAAGCAGAAGCAGUGGCUGGAGCUAGAGCAGCUAUUUAGGACUAUGAGAUGGAAGAAAUGUGGUGACAAUAGCAGAACAAAAAUAUAGAAAUCUUGGGUACUUGAUGACCACGGAGCCGCCAUACAAACUCUGGACUAUAAUUUCCAGAGACUGUUUAUGCUACAGUUAUCUAACUGCAAGCAACAGAAAUCCACUCUGGGCAACCUAAGCCAGAAAGGAAGAUAAAUUGAAGAACCAGGGUCUAUCUGAACUUUUUCUCCAGAGAAUGAAGAUACUGUCAUUACCUCUGCAAAGAAUGCAUCCUAGCACAGAUCAAAGAUCUUCCAAGUCCAGCCACACCAUUUUACAGUUCUGAACCUCGACUUAGGAAAGCAGUGGAUCUUUAUACAUUUGACACAUCCCUUCCCUCUAGGGUAAGAAAAAAUAAGCCUAGUUUUGCAUAAGUCCUUUUCUGGAUCUCUGUGGCUAUUGAAAAUGGACUGGAGAAGAUGAGUGGGAGUGAGAAGAGGAUAACAGAAUCAGAUAAAAACCUGUCAUGUUACUAAGAGCAGGAGAUGAGGCAGCCUGGACCAAGAUGGUGGCAGAGAGAAGAAAAUUGCUUGAGAGAAUUGAUUAAACUACUUGGUUAGCACAGAUAGAGCUGAAUCAAAAAUUAGGAUGGUAAGCUAAGUAAUUUUACACACAAAAAGGCAGAGUUGCAUUCAUAAUUAGUCUCUCCUUCAGACUGAAUAUUACAGACAAAAUAUAGCCAUUGGUGUUGCAAUCACUUCCUUUGGGUUUGUAUCCAAGGUUAAGAAUGUCAGCAUCCAAAGACCCAAAUUCUUAAUGUUUUUAGUUGAUAAAGUUUAUUCAAGGUAGACAGCCUGUGUUGAAUAACUUAGUCUUCCACAAAUUUCAAGAAAAAUCCAUUGUCCCUCUUCUCCGCCACAGACACACUUUAGUUGAACAUUAAGCAUAUUUAUUAAAGAAACAUUCUCCUUGUGCUUUUUCUCCCAAGAUGGAUGGUGUUCUUACUUAGAGUUAUAAGUGUCAGAAUAAAAAUGCCCAUGAGGUUGAAUUGUAUGAUGUUAUAGUAAAGUGAGAUAAACAUUCUCAGAAACAUGAUUGUGACUUAAAAAAAAAAAAAACCAACAAACCACUUUCUGUAGAGGAAUUAUGCUUUGGGGACAGAAACUUUCCUUUAUAAUUUUUACAGCUGCACGCAGAUAAAGUGUAUUAAAAAGGCACAACACAUCAAUUAUGAAAACAUGGCUACCCUUUAAGAGAACACAGACUUUUUCCAGAUCCAUCUUAAAUCUCAGGAAUUCUAGAUCGAGACAGGCAUGAAUGCUCCUGUUGCUGAAAUCACUCUGAUUUCCUUCUUGUUAAACACUUCACUCAGCAACAUUAUAGAUUAGCACCAAAAAAGUUGUUUGUAGGUGAAAAACUGUUCAGAAAAGGACACCUUAUUAGGCAGGCUGUCGAUUUACAAAUAAAAGCCGAUUCUGGCUCUCCUGAAUGAAAAGAAGAG
rnacentral:lncRNA from 10 species